CAAUAGCGUAUAUUAAAGUUGUUGCAGUUAAAAAGCUCGUAGUUGGAUUUCUGGCGGGGACCCAAGUACCCCUGGUGGGUGUGCUCGGGCCCGGCCAUCCUUCUGUCAACUUUCGCGCGUCCUUCACCGGUCGGCAAAGGGAUCAGAUAAUUUACCUUGAGAAAAUUAGAGUGUUUCAGGCAGGCUUUCGCCGGAAUACAUUAGCAUGGAAUAAUGGAAUAGGACUGAGGUCUCGUUGUUGGUUACGCGGACUCCAGUAAUGAUUAAUAGGGACAGUUGGGGGCAUUAGUAUUUAUUAGCUAGAGGUGGAAUUCUCUAAUUUGAUAAAGACUAACUUAUGCGAAAGCAUUUGCCAAGGAUAUUUUCAUUA
rnacentral:rRNA from 1 species